UUGGGAAUGGUCGGGAUAGCUCAGC
rnacentral:tRNA from 1 species